rnacentral:rRNA from 1 species
AUGGCUCAGGAUGAACGCUAGCUACAGGCUUAACACAUGCAAGUCGAGGGGGAAACGAUAUUGGAAGCUUGCUUCCGAUAGGCGUCGACCGGCGCACGGGUGAGUAACGCGUAUCCAACCUGCCCAUCACUUGGGGAUAACCUUGCGAAAGUAAGACUAAUACCCAAUGACGUCUCUAGAAGACAUCUGAAGGAGAUUAAAGAUUUAUCGGUGAUGGAUGGGGAUGCGUCUGAUUAGCUUGUUGGCGGGGUAACGGCCCACCAAGGCGACGAUCAGUAGGGGUUCUGAGAGGAAGGUCCCCCACAUUGGAACUGAGACACGGUCCAAACUCCUACGGGAGGCAGCAGUGAGGAAUAUUGGUCAAUGGGCGAGAGCCUGAACCAGCCAAGUAGCGUGCAGGAUGACGGCCCUAUGGGUUGUAAACUGCUUUUAUAAGGGAAUAAAGUGGGAGUCGUGACUCUUUUUGCAUGUACCUUAUGAAUAAGGACCGGCUAAUUCCGUG